rnacentral:lncRNA from 12 species
GAGACAAUGCCAUCCUGUGGCUGUUCGGGGAUACUGACUUUCUGCAAUGGUUUUCCAGCAGCUGUCAGCUUUGCCCUUCCUGGUCAGAGAUGCACAUUAGGAAUGACAGAUAGACCCUCCUCAGAAACUGCAAAUAAGGUGCCCAUUUGCCUUUAGCUCAAAAACAAAGCUCAUACUGCUUAAGAGAAUAUUCCCUGCUCCCAGGUGGGAUUCAACUUUAGGAUGGGAUUGUUUUGCUGCUGCACAGGAAAAAGUCACAGGUCAGAGAACAGCCAUCAAUCUGUGCUGCGGGAGGAGUCCAGGUAACUACGCUUGGAAUGAGUCACACCUGAUGCAUGGAGUGGGAGAAUGGAUUGUAAGAGAACAGAGAUGGUGCUGUAGGCAACCCUGCCCCUCAGCUGCAGCUGAACCACCUACCAAGGAGCAGAAGCAGCCUUGCCCUUGAUAGGCUGCAGCUAUGUCCAAAAAGGAUGUGUGUUAUAAAAGAGUGGCUUAGCCCCUCACAUGAGGGAAGAGAGAAUGAGUCAGUGUUGU